rnacentral:rRNA from 1 species
UGAGGAACCUGCCCCGAAGACCGGGAUAACCCUCCGAAAGGAGAGCUAAUACCGGAUGCCCUCACAUGGUCGCAUGGCCGAGUGAGGAAAUGGAUUCCGCUUCGGGAGGGCCUCGCGGCCUAUCAGCUUGUUGGUGAGGUAACGGCUCACCAAGGCGACGACGGGUAGCCGGCCUGAGAGGGCGACCGGCCACACUGGGACUGAGACACGGCCCAGACUCCGUACGGGAGGCAGCAG